GCCUGACCUGUGAGCCAGCCUGUGGAAGGAGGAGCAGAUGGGAAUCACUGCCCUUGGGAUGUGCUCUGGGAUCCCCCAUCUAGGUAUCUCCCAUGACCCCUGGCGGCCUCGCUGCCUGUUUCUCACCGAAGUCAGUCGAAGGAGCUGCAGCCUUCUUGCUGCCAUCACAAUGCAUGGAGCUCUCCCCCAGGAGGGAAGCAACGUCUUCUCCGAAGGUCAGUCGAAGGAUCUGCAGCCUUCUCGCUGCCAUCACAAUGCAUGGAGCUCUCCCCCAGGAGGGAAGCAAUGUCUUCUCCGAAGUCAGUCGAAGGAUCUGCAGCCUUCUCGCUGCCAUCACAAUGCAUGGAGCUCUCCCCCAGGAGGGAAGCAAUGUCUUCUCCGAAGUCAGUCGAAGGAUCUGCAGCCUUCUCGCUGCCAUCACAAUGCAUGGAGCUCUCCCCCAGGAGGGAAGCAAUGUCUUCUCCAAAGAUCUGGAGGCAAUUCUCAAUCAAAAAUUGCACAAGAGAAAUCU
rnacentral:lncRNA from 1 species